rnacentral:rRNA from 2 species
GAAUGCUGACAUAAGUAACGAUAAAGCGGGUGAAAAGCCCGCUCGCCGGAAGACCAAGGGUUCCUGUCCAACGUUAAUCGGGGCAGGGUGAGUCGACCCCUAAGGCGAGGCCGAAAGGCGUAGUCGAUGGGAAACAGGUUAAUAUUCCUGUACUUGGUGUUACUGCGAAGGGGGGACGGAGAAGGCUAUGUUAGCCGGGCGACGGUUGUCCCGGUUUAAGCAUGUAGGCUGGUUGUCCAGGCAAAUCCGGAUAAUCAAGGCUGAGGUGUGAUGACGAGGCACUACGGUGCUGAAGUAACAAAUGCCCUGCUUCCAGGAAAAGCCUCUAAGCAUCAGGUAACAUCAAAUCGUACCCCAAACCGACACAGGUGGUCAGGUAGAGAAUACCAAGGCGCUUGAGAGAACUCGGGUGAAGGAACUAGGCAAAAUGGUGCCGUAACUUCGGGAGAAGGCACGCUGGUGUGUAGGUGAAGUCCCUGCGGAUGGAGCUGAGACCAGUCGAAGAUACCAGCUGGCUGCAACUGUUUAUUAAAAACACAGCACUGUGCAAACACGAAAGUGGACGUAUACGGUGUGACGCCUGCCCGGUGCCGGAAGGUUAAUUGAUGGGGUUAUCCGUAAGGAGAAGCUCUUGAUCGAAGCCCCGGUAAACGGCGGCCGUAACUAUAACGGUCCUAAGGUAGCGAAAUUCCUUGUCGGGUAAGUUCCGACCUGCACGAAUGGCGUAAUGAUGGCCAGGCUGUCUCCACCCGAGACUCAGUGAAAUUGAACUCGCUGUGAAGAUGCAGUGUACCCGCGGCAAGACGGAAAGACCCCGUGAACCUUUACUAUAGCUUGACACUGAACAUUGAGCCUUGAUGUGUAGGAUAGGUGGGAGGCUUUGAAGCGUGGACGCCAGUCUGCGUGGAGCCAACCUUGAAAUACCACCCUUUAAUGUUUGAUGUUCUAACGUUGGCCCCUUACCGGGGUUGCGGACAGUGUCUGGUGGGUAGUUUGACUGGGGCGGUCUCCUCCCAAAGCGUAACGGAGGAGCACGAAGGUUAGCUAAUCCUGGUCGGACAUCAGGAGGUUAGUGCAAUGGCAUAAGCUAGCUUGACUGCGAGCGUGACGGCGCGAGCAGGUGCGAAAGCAGGUCAUAGUGAUCCGGUGGUUCUGAAUGGAAGGGCCAUCGCUCAACGGAUAAAAGGUACUCCGGGGAUAACAGGCUGAUACCGCCCAAGAGUUCAUAUCGACGGCGGUGUUUGGCACCUCGAUGUCGGCUCAUCACAUCCUGGGGCUGAAGUAGGUCCCAAGGGUAUGGCUGUUCGCCAUUUAAAGUGGUACGCGAGCUGGGUUUAGAACGUCGUGAGACAGUUCGGUCCCUAUCUGCCGUGGGCGCUGGAGAAUUGAGGGGGGCUGCUCCUAGUACGAGAGGACCGGAGUGGACGCAUCACUGGUGUUCGGGUUGUCAUGCCAAUGGCACUGCCCGGUAGCUAAAUGCGGAAGAGAUAAGUGCUGAAAGCAUCUAAGCACGAAACUUGCCCCGAGAUGAGUUCUCCCUGAGACUU